GAAGUCUUUCUUUGUAUAUUUUCAAUUGCAAAAAUGACCUUAAUGGAAGACUUCCUCGAUUUCUUCUAGAAGACUUAUGUGGAACUCCUCUACGUCAAUAUUUAAUAAACUUUCAUUUUCCCUUAAACUUUAAUGACUUUUAACAUUUUUCUUUUUUAAUUCAUGUAUAUUAGUCACUAUUGGGCAUACUGAAUAAAAUUGAUAACUUAUUUGGUGAUAAUUAUGAGGUUACCAACAUUCAUGUUUAUUAAUUUUUCUAGCUAAAAAGCAAAGACGUCCAUGAAAGUCUUCUAUGUUAGUUUUUGUGAACUUGUAAAGUAAAUUUAAGAUAUGUUUUUUAACUUUCAAAAGUGUUAAGUAACUUCAAGAAUGUCAAGUCAUAUGGUUUAAUGUGUUUUCUUAGAUAAUAAGAUAUACUUUUUAACUUUCUUGAAAUUUGAAAUUUCAAUUUUCACUUAAAACUUGAGUUUUCCGCUUUAAUUUUAAUUUUCCGCUUUAAAUUUAAGUUUUCCGAGACUUCGAGUGAAACUAUUAUAAGUUUGAACUUAUGUAAUGUUUGAUCUUUUGUGAAUUUGACUAAGUUUUCUUAAGAAGUCUUCUGGGAUGUAAUGUUUGAACUUAUGUAAUGUUUGAUCUUUUUGAAAAAUGAACAUAUUUACCAAAAAAAAUUAUUAAUAUCUCUUCAAAUUUACAAAAGAAUUCACAACUAAAAGAGUACACCUACAAAUCAC
rnacentral:lncRNA from 1 species